rnacentral:rRNA from 1 species
CAGCCGCCGCGGUAAUACGGAGGGUGCAAGCGUUAAUCGGAAUUACUGGGCGUAAAGCGCACGCAGGCGGUCUGUCAAGUCAGAUGUGAAAUCCCCGGGCUUAACCUGGGAACUGCAUUUGAAACUGGCAGGCUAGAGUCUUGUAGAGGAUGGUAGAAUUCCAGGUGUAGCGGUGAAAUGCGUAGAGAUCUGGAGGAAUACCGAUGGCGAAGGCAGCCAUCUGGCCUAAUACUGACGCUGAGGUACGAAAGCAUGGGGAGCAAACAGGAUUAGAUACCCCGGUAGUCCCUGUCUCUUAUAC